ACUCACCUCGCGCCCGCGGCAGCCGCUGCCACCCCCCACGCCCCGAAGCGCCGCCGCCGCCGCUUCCGGCCGCCGCGCCUGCGCCACUUCCGGCCGAAGGGGGGGGCUGUGCGGAAGUGAGAGACGAGCAUAGAGACGGGGGAGCGGGCGCGGUCCUCCCGCCGCCGCCUCCGCACCAUAGAGACGGGCCGGGGGGAGUCCCAGAGAGAACCCACAGAGCCCCAUAGGCGCCUUCGCAGGGACUCCAAAGACCUUACAGACCCCCAUAAGGACCCUGUGGUGCCCCAGUCCCCUGUGGAGACCCAUGAGGACCCCCGUAGGUCCCUAUAGACCCCUGUGAGGACCCUGCAGAGCCCCCUGUAGAUUCCCAUUAGAGCUUGGAUGGUGAGCAUCUGGGUCCCCUAUAUGGCCUGGAUCCCUCACUGGUCUCUGUAGAUACUGGCUGCCAUAUACAUUCCGAUGAAGAGCCACACAGGUUUGAGUUCCCCUAUGGAGCCCUACGGGGAGAACCUGGUCCUCCUAUGAACCUGCGUUGGGGCCUUCCCCCUACCAGUAUCCCCCUAUAGGGCCUGGAUCCCCUAUGGACCUCCUUAGGGCACAGAUGGUUGGGAGAUCCCCAUAGGGAUCCCCACGGGUCCUGGACCCUCUGUGUAGACCUGUGUUGAUCCAUGCUGACUCAUGUUGGUGCAGUGCUGAUCUAUUUUGACCCGUGUUUGUUGACCCAUCAUCCUGAGGCACGUUGAUCUGUGUUUGAUCUGUGUUGGCUCCUGUGUUGCAGUUGAUCCCUGUUGAUCGGCUUUCACCAAUGUUGCUCUUUGUUAACCCAUAUUAAUCUGUGUUAACCCAUGUAGGUCCAUGUUGACCUGUGUCAACCCACGUUGGUCCAUGUUGUCUCCUGCAGUUGAUCCCUGUUGUCCUGCUUUCACCUAUGUUGCUCCUCAUUGACCUAUAUUGAUCUAUGUUGACCCGUGUCACUCUGCUGCUCCAUUUGGACCUGCACGGGCCUGUGUUGACUGAUGUCAAUCUGUGCCGACCCACGUCAACCCAUGUUGGUCCCCGUUGACCCAUGUUGAUCUGUGCUGACCUGUGUUGAGCUGUGUCACCCCCAUUUGACCCGCACUAAACAAAUGACCAGGUGCACCAAUGUCUGAAUGCUUGGGUGCACCACGGAGAUGCUUGGGUGCUCCAUGAAGAUGCUUGAGCAACCCAUGGAGAUGCCUUGUUGCUCCAUGGAGAUGCUUGGGUGCUCCGAGGAGGUGUUUGAGGAGCCCUUGGGUGAUGCUUGGGUGCUCCAAGAGGUACUUGGGUACCCCAAAAACAUGCUUGGUGGUCCAAGGAGAUGGAUAUGUACCCAGGGAAAUGCUCAGUUCCACAAAGAGAUUCUUGGGUGCUCCAGGGAGGUUCUCAGGUGCCCUUGGAGAUCCUUUUGUCCCUGUUCUACGCUUGGGUGCCCACUUCUAUGCUUGGAUGCCCCAGAAAGAUGCUUUGGGUGCUCAGGGAGGUGCCCAUGCCCCUGGGGCGAGGGCUGGACCUGAUGCCACACGGGGCAGAACUGAUGUCCCUGUCCACCUGUGUCCCCUGGGGGGUGGGCGGGCACUGGGUAGAGCCUGGGGGGGGGGGAGCCCAAGGGGAGGUGGGAGGUUCCUUGUGUCCUCCUAUGCCCGCGGCGUGGGUGGCACCGGCAGUGCCACACUUGGCACCGCAGGGACGUAACAAAGUGAGGAGAUACCGGGGUGGUAUCUGUCAACCCCCUCCUCAACCCUAAGGACUCCUAUGGGGUGGGGGGGGGUUGUGCUAUUAUUGUAGUGUCUCCCCAGCUUCUGUGUCGUUGAACCCCCACCAGUUUGGGUCGUGAUGGAUGAGGGACCCCUCAAGCUGGCACAGGCCAAGCACCGGCGGGACCUGGAGGCGGAGCUUCGUGACCUCAGCAACCAGGUGGCAGCGCUGGGGCGGAGCCUGGCGCACGAGAGGGGGCGGAGCUUGGCAGAGGGCGGGGCCUUGAGAGCCCUCGAGAUCGCGGUGGGCGGAGCCAAAGCCCGAGUGGGCGGAGCCUUCCGGGCCCGGGAUCGAGCAUGGGAGCGGCUGAGGCAGCAGCAGGAGGCGGGGCGCGUGUUGUGGGCGGAGCUAGAGGCAGCACGCGCGGCGCGGGAAAGGGCGGAGCUCCGGGCGCAGGAGGCGGAGUCACAGUGCCGGGACAAGGAGGCGGAGCUGGAGCGACUGCGGCAGGGAGGGCCGCGAUCCUGUGGGGCUGCAGGCGGCGCUGGCAGAACUGAGGGAGCACAACCGGGAGCUGCGGCAGCGCCUGCACCAGCGGCACGAGGAGGCGCAGGAGCUGCAGCGGGCGCUGAUGGGCGCACAGGCACGAGCCCGGGCAGCGGCGGAGGCACGGGCACAGCUGGAGCGGGAGCAGCGGGGGCUGCAGGGGCGGCUGCAGCACCCUGGGGUGCCCCCGCACCCGGCUGAGGCCACCCUGCGUGCCCGCUGCUUCCACCUGCAGGAGCUGCUGCAGCGCGAGGCGGGGGCACGGGCGGCACUGGCGCGGGCAUCGCGGGCAGCAGGACGGCGGCUGCGGGUGCUGCUGGCGGAGGUGGAGGAGCAGCGGCUGCGGGGGGAGCGCUACCGCCUGCAG